GUUGGCACUUGUGAUGUUGAUGAUUCUACCUGGAAAAUGACAGAAAUUCCAAAUCAACACAAGAUGCUUUGAUGGGGUCGGUGUUACUAGACUGGAUAUGAUGUUUUCACUGCUGAAAUUGGGUGAGGAAAUAAAUCUAUAUGGAAUUAAGGAACCCCUCACCAGCACCCACUCACCUUUAGCUUGCCGAAUCAAUGGUAGAAAUGCCUUUGUGACUCUCAGCAUACCCAUAAAAUUCACUUGCACCUGAGAUUCUAUUUGAUAAUCUAACUGCCAAUCAAAGUGCCCAUAUACCAAGACACCUGCAUUAUUUAUGAGGGCCCAUAGAGUUGUUUCGGUAUUCUGUAGAUUAUCUUUAACUAUUUGCAGAACAUUUUCAAUAUCAGUUGGCUUGGUAACAUCCAUCUGAACAACGAAAAUAUUUGGAUAAUUUUGUUGCAUAAAGUUGGCCCCAUAUCCUUUGAGAUCCAAGCACGUCGCUAUGACGUGAAAGCCCAACUUUUCUGCAGCGAUGGCCAUCGAUAGUCCUAUGCCCGAGUCGCAACCAGUGAUCAAAACACUUUUCCCAGACGGACCACA